UACAGCCAUACCACCCUGAAUGGGCCAGAUCUCGUCUGAUCUUGGAAGCUAAGCAGGGUGGGCCCUGGUUAGUACUUGGAUGGGAGGAAAGGGAUUGGCUGUAC
rnacentral:rRNA from 1 species